AGCGAACGCUGGCGGCAGGCUUAACACAUGCAAGUCGAACGGAUCCUUCGGGAUUAGUGGCGGACGGGUGAGUAACACGUGGGAACGUGCCUUUUGGUUCGGAACAACACAGGGAAACUUGUGCUAAUACCGGAUGUGCCCUUCGGGGAAGAUUUAUCGCCAUUAGAGCGGCCCGCGUCUGAUUAGCUAGUUGGUGAGGUAAAGGCUCACCAAGGCUACGAUCAGUAGCUGGUCNGAGAGGAUGAUCAGCCACACUGGGACUGAGACACGGCCCAGACUCCUACGGGAGGCAGCAGUGGGGAAUCUUGCGCAAGUGGGGGAAACCCUGACGCAGCCAUGCCGCGUGAAUGAUGAAGGUCUUAGGAUUGUAAAAUUCUUUCAGC
rnacentral:rRNA from 1 species